UAAUAAUGGCCCCUUACUCUCAUAAUCAGUGCUGAGUAGUGGCAAGGGGGAGAAAAUGGAAAAGUUGGCAUGGGAGAGAAGGCAGAUCCAGAAGAUAGGACACAGCUCAGCCCUGAGAAUGUGGCCUGAUUUUCUCUUCUGUUAUCACAACUGCUCUUCUGCUUGAGUUUCUUCUACACCUUCAAGAUGGCUGAAGAACAAGAUGCUUUCUCUCCACGUCUGUGCUGUUUCACUAUGCUGCAAAUAUUCCCAGCCCUUUCCCCUUGAUGCCCAAAAUAAAUUACUCAACUACCCUGAA